GAUGAAGAACGUAGCGAAAUGCGAUAAGUAAUGUGAAUUGCAGAAUUCAGAGAAUCAUCGAAUCUUUGAACGCACAUUGCGCCCCUUGGUAUUCCGAGGGGCAUGCCUGUUCGAGCGUCAUUAUAACCCCUCAAGCUCAGCUUGGUGUUGGGGCCUGCUGCACUGGCAGCCCUUAAAAUCAGUGGCGGCGCCAUCUGGCUCUAAGCGUAGUAAUUCUUCUCGCUAUGGAGUCCUGGUGGAUGCUUGCCAUCAACCCCCAAUUUUUCUAUGGUUGACCUCGGAUCAGGUAGGGAUACCCGCUGAACUUAAGCAUAUCAAUAAGCGGAGGA
rnacentral:misc_RNA from 1 species